GACGAACGCUGGCGGCGUGCCUAAUACAUGCAAGUCGAGCGCAGGAAAUCGGCGGAACCCUUCGGGGGGAAGUCGACGGAAUGAGCGGCGGACGGGUGAGUAACACGUAAAGAACCUGCCCUCAGGUCUGGGAUAACCACGAGAAAUCGGGGCUAAUACCGGAUGGGUCAUCGGACCGCAUGGUCCGAGGAUGAAAGGCGCUCCGGCGUCGCCUGGGGAUGGCUUUGCGGUGCAUUAGCUAGUUGGUGGGGUAAUGGCCCACCAAGGCGACGAUGCAUGGCCGACCGGGGAGGGUGAUCGGCCGCACUGGGACGGAGACACGGCCCAGACUCCUACGGGAGGCAGCAGUAGGGAAUCUUCCACAAUGGUCGAAAGUCUGAUGGAGCAACGCCGCGUGAACGAUGAAGGCCUUCGGGUCGUAAAGUUCUGUUGUAAGGGAAGAACAAGUGCCGCAGGCAAUGGCGGCACCUUGACGGUACCUUGCGAGAAAGCCACGGCUAACUACGUGCCAGCCGCCGCCGUAAAAC
rnacentral:rRNA from 1 species